GAAAAAUUAAAUGUGAAAAGUAAAAUUAAAUAUUAAAAGAACCACAAAAAUUAUCAUGAGAACACCAUUUGCUUACAAAACUAAAUUGUAAAUGUAUUCUCAACUUAUUCACUCUUACUGUACUUAAUAUCCUACUUCAAAUGUGCAAUACAGGAUCAUUUUUUUACUUCUUCUGAUAGCAUCAUUCCAAGUGGCUAGGAUAUUUCCUUCAGCAACAUCUUGGUCUCUUCUUCGUAUUGAUAGAACAGAGCUGUUGGAUUUUCUGCAUAUCCUGAAUCAGACGCCUCCCAUUCAUCUCUGGUCCAUAACCAGGCUCUUCUGCCUUCACUGCCUUUGCCGUCUAACUCUGGAGCACAAAUGAGAUGAUUCCACCAAGAUAAAGAAACUUUUAGUCCGAGAGGUGAAGGUGAUUCAAGGACAUCUGGGUGAAAGAAAGCUGAGCCAGUUCUUCAUUUGAGCUGCAGUCAAGAGGACAAUCUCUACUGGGUAAAAAUGCUUUAUAAAGAUGAUGUUUCUUGGUUGGUAGAGUAAAAUUUUGCAUUUCAUUUCCAAUAAAUAAUGCUAUUCAUUAGAAACUUUUUCAAAACUCUCAAAGUGCUACUAAGCCUCCAUUAGAGUAUUUUCUCUCUCUCUCUUCCAUCAUUAUCCACAUUCUCACUACCUGUACAAAGUGAUUCAGUGAAAACUGGAUUCAAAAGGAUUAGUCUCUGUAUUUCCAAAAGAGUUUCAGCCCAUCUCUGGAUGAGUUUCUAAUAAAAUUCAGUGAAAUAUAAUUGUAUAUGCUAGAUAGCUUUUGCUUCCCUCCACUCCCAGUAUGCUUUCUCUCUUUGUCCUUGACCCUCUAUUCUGUGCCCAGAAAGGCUGACCUGUAAGGAUUGUAACAGUGGUCCCCUCGACCUCUGGCUUCCAGUGGGUUCAACCAAUGGGAGACCUUGACAAGAGAUUUGAAGGAGGAAAGAAAGUGGGGUUUAAAUAUUUAUCCCACCAGCUCCCUCCUUGCUGGUGACUCAGAUAGCCACUGAUGUUAUCUGAAGAAUCUCUUUAUAAAAUGUCUUUCUCUUGGUUACAGAAAUGACUUCUAACUAUUACAUCAACUAGCUCCAUGGAACUGCAAUUUCUCUUGAUGGUUUCUCCAAACUCUGCCCACAUGUAUAUAGUCAGUUUUACUAUAAAUCAUUUCAGAUAACCCAGAUUGGAUGAGAUUCAUUGAGGGCCCUGGCAUAAAAGGACAGGAACACUCAGACUGGGCUCCCAUCUUUUUGAUAGAUUCCAAAAAUGUGAGCCCAGGACUCUACACACAUCUGCGAUGUUGAAAAGAUCAGUCUGUUGAGAAGGGCUUUAGUAGCUCAAAGUACAACUGCAGUAUUAAUUUUAUUGCCCAAAUGAUAAAAAAGCAAGUAAAUAAAAUGACCCUAUUCAAUAACUUUUUUUUGGCGGGGUUGGGGAUAGUAGGAAGGAAUUGAUUCAGAAUCAGGCAUAAAUUAAAUUUAUAUGAAUGAGAUUUAAAUGAUGAUUUCAACUUAGUAAAAUUUGCUCCAGUGAAUAGGCUACUUCAGAGAGUAACAAGAAAUAAUCAGAAUAAUUAAAGGUCAGCCUGUAGUAAUUGAGUAAAUUUGCCUAUUUUCACUUGGUAUGAUAUUAAUUUGAACUGAUUAUCAUGCCAGGACUUUAAUAUUUUUAUUGAAAGGUCAUUUUGGACAAAACAAGCUACAGGAUUUUAUAUAUAUACAUAUAUGCAUAUAAAUAUGUAUAUGGAUAUAUACAUACAUGUGUAUAUUAUAUGUGCACAUAAAUAUAUAUGACAUAGGAAUUCCACUGUUAACUUACUCAAUGGUUUCUACUGUACAACUCACAAAUGCAAAGUAUAUCAUUCAAAUUCUGAUUUUAUGCUUCUAGCAAACAAAUAAGUAAACAAAUGAAUUAUUUUUUAAAAAUAGUCCAAUGUUAAAUAAUAUAUAUUUCAUGUAGAUUUUCCAAUUUAUAAAUAAAAUUUAUUUCCAGCUAAAUGUAGGACUUAUGUUGCUCAUUGAGUUCUAAUUAUUAUUUUCUCUUGCAACACGCUGUGGCAUUUUGGUGAACUAUUUUGGCAUCAGUAAAUUCCUAAGUAUAGUCAAUAGACUCCUAUUAAUAUAGUAGGGUAUUUUUAGCUCAGGCUUUAGCUUUUUAAAACCACAGUGCUUAAAGUGUCCCCUUACAGAAAAAAAAAAUUACUAUGUUCAAGUAUAACCCCAUUCAUAUAUAUCUACCCAAGUGCUUUCGUCUAUGAAAUGAGUAUUUGACUGAUAAAUACAUACAUAUUUAAUUUUGUAACUUUCCCCACAAUAAAUUAUUUGUAUAAAAC
rnacentral:lncRNA from 1 species